rnacentral:rRNA from 1 species
UUGGGCCUGCUCGGUGAAUAAUUUUUAACAGCUGCGGUAUUUUAACUGUACUAAGGUAGCAUAAUAAUUUGCCUUAUAAUUUGAGGCUAGAAUGAAUGGUUUGACGAAGGUUAAUCUGUCUCUAUCUUAUUUUUUAGAAUUUAAUUUUUAAAGUGAAAAAGCUUGAAUUUUUUAAAGGGACGAGAAGACCCUAAUGAGCUUAUAAUUUUAUUAUUAUUAUUUAAUAUAUUUAAAUGAUAAUAUAUAAAUUUUAAUUGGGGUGAUUAAGGAAUAAAGAAUUAUAUAAUAACUUCCUUAGAUUAAAUAUAUAUAGAUAAAGUAACCAAUAAUAUAUUGCUUAUAAUAUAGUUACCAUAGGGAUAACAGCGUAAUUUGUUUAGAGAGUUCUUAUUGAAAAACAAGAUUGCGACCUCGAUGUUGGAUUAAAGUAACCUUAAGGUGCAGAAGCUUUAGUA